CAUUCAUCCACCUGUGGUGUUCGUCGAUGCCUUUGCUCGUUUGGUCUGCUGCAGAGGAUCUCAUUUGUUCUGGUGCACAACAACAACAGAAGUAAUUGCGUGACAGCGGCCUCACAGAGUCACCGGGGACCCCCAACCAAGAGCCCACAGUCCCAGGGAAUUGUUCUUUCCCACCUCCUCCUCAUCUGGCUCACAGGAGCCACACACAGCGAUUCACAGGUCAUCUUUCUUGAGGGAUCUUGUUGUUCUGUAAUCUGGAGUCUUCUCCAGUCCUCCGAUCCAGCAGCAGCCACAACUCAGUGCCCCAUUCGAUGCCUCUGAUUGCAACGCAGCCCUUGGCAGGAGGCUUCUGCUGUUCCCUGGGCCAACAAAGAUCCAAUCUUUACUAAGGUUAGUGAGAGACUAGUAGUAGGCUGUUCACUUGACCUUAGAAUUCCUUUCUCUUGAUUCACCACAGGAUCUGAGAGGGCAGUGGGAGUCCAUCGCUGUCCCAUCAAUAGCCUUCGAGCAUUGUCACCAGAAUCCUGCCUAUUCUAAUUUCUGCGAAGAGGACUAUGUGAUGGAAUGAAGAGGGUAUUUUGGUCCUUUUAGCGGUCCGGCAGGACCUAUAUAAACGCCACGAGAGGGGAGCAGAAGAAGAGGAAGACGGGCAGCUCCGCUGUGGUUGCGACGACAGCAGAUGAGGCUCGCCAGCUUCCUCCAGUGCGGUUGCGGGGCGCCGCGGCCCGAGGAGAAGCCGCAGGCGGCCCGGACGGGGACUGAUCCCCGUGACUGCGGCCGCCGUCGCCGCAACCGCGGGAACGACGCCUCGACGCCCUGGAGGCCGUCGCUCGCGGCGAUCUCCGAGAACGGCGCGCCGACGAGGGCGGCGGCGGGUGCCCGAGAUGGAAAGAUGACCGCUGACGGGGCGGAGAAGCACAAGGCCGUCGUCUCUCGUCGGGUCCUUCCUCGCGAUCACAGUGACCACGACCGGUAUUCAGAUGUUUCUUCAGUUGUGCCGGCAUUUAGUCCCACUGCCUUUUUGUUCUAGUGCCUAAUUCAGUGUUCAUCUGCGAUGAAAAAGAAGAAGAGAAGAGCGAAGGAUGACCGGAAGAUGAAGAAUGCUUUGUGCAAGAUUUAGUGAUUUUGUGCCAUUUACUCAGCAGUCACUUCUUCCUAUUCAUCCUUCCUUUUCUGUAUAUUUUCCCUUUACAAAUCCUUGUGUAUACAAAAGCUAGAAUGAAAUAUGUAAAUAUCAGAACAUGACAAUUCAGAUCAGUAUCUCAUGAUGUCUGAAAGUUAUGUAAUUCUGGACUUCUGCAGGAGUGCAGUUCAGAAGAAGCUUCAAGCUGAGCCAUACUGUGGCUGUAGCUUGAACUUCUGCAUCUCUCUUGUUAAAAGGACAAUUUAAAGUUUCUUGCCCUCCUGUUUAUUGAAA